rnacentral:rRNA from 1 species
CGCGUAGGCGGUCUCUUAAGUCAGAUGUGAAAGCCCGGGGCUUAACCUCGGAAGUGCAUUUGAAACUAAGGGACUUGAGUAUGGGAGAGGGAAGUGGAAUUCCUGGUGUAGCGGUGAAAUGCGUAGAUAUCAGGAGGAACACCGGUGGCGAAGGCGACUUCCUGGACCAAUACUGACGCCGAGGCGCGAAGGCGUGGGGAGCAAACAGGAUUAGAUACCCUGGUAGUCC